AACGAACGUUGGCGGCGUGGAUUAGGCAUGCAAGUCGCACGAAUCCCAGUCUUGUAGCAAUACCGGAUUGGGGAAAGUGGCGAAAGGGGCAGUAAGGCGUGGGUAACUUGCCCCGGAGUUCGGAAUAGCCUUUCUAACGAAUGGGUAAUACCGAAUGCCCUAGCGAGGGGGCCUCCUCUGGCUAGGAAAGUUACGGCGCUCCGGGAGGGGCCCACGUAGUAUUAGCUUGUUGGUGAGUAACGGCUCACCAAGGCAAGAUGCUUAGCAGCUGUGAGAGCACGACCUGCGCCACUGGCACUGGGACACUGGCCAGACUCCUACGGGAGGCUGCAGUCGAGGAUCUUCGGCAAUGGGCNCAAGCCUGACCGAGCGACGCCGCGUGGGCGAUGAAGG
rnacentral:rRNA from 1 species